GGGUAAGAAUGAUAUUGGGCUUAAUAACUAUUAGGUGAUGGAUCCAAUGACGGCUUUGCAUCUACUUGUGAACGGUGUGUCAGAUUUAACUAAAGAGUGUGGUCAAUAACUGUUAGGUGAGCCCACAUAACUUGAGAUCAAGUCGCUGCAACAUGCUUAAAGAAGUAUCUGGAUAAAGAGUUAUCUAUGUAUUGGUGUACAUAUUAUCAAUAACUAUUAGGUGAGGUAUAUGAUAUCGGUGAGACCGCAACACCCAC
rnacentral:lncRNA from 1 species